GUGGGGAAUAUUGGGCAAUGGGGGAAACCCUGACCCAGCGACGCCGCGUGAGGGAAGAAGGCCUUAGGGUCGUAAACCUCUGUUGUGUGGGAAGAAGAGCGUGACGGUACCACACGAGGAAGUCCCGGCUAACUACGUGCCAGCAGCCGCGGUAAUACGUAGGGGACGAGCGUUGUCCGGAUUUACUGGGCGUAAAGGGCGCGUAGGCGGUCAUUUAAGUCAGCUGUGAAAUGGUUUGGCUUAACCGGAUCAUGCGGUUGAAACUGGAUGACUGGAGUGCUGGAGAGGCAAGUGGAAUUCCCAGUGUAGCGGUGAAAUGCGUAGAUAUUGGGAAGAACACCGGUGGCGAAGGCGACUUGCUGGCCAGCAACUGACGCUGAGGCGCGAAAGCCAGGGGAGCAAACGGGAUUAGAAACCCGAGUAGUCC
rnacentral:rRNA from 1 species